GACGAACGCUGCCGGCGUGCUUAACACAUGCAAGUCGAACGGUAAGGCCCUUCGGGGUACACGAGUGGCGAACGGGUGAGUAACACGUGGGUGAUCUGCCCUGCACUUCGGGAUAAGCCUGGGAAACUGGGUCUAAUACCGGAUAGGACCACUGCCUGCAGGGAUGGGGGUGGAAAGCUUUUGCGGUGUGGGAUGGGCCCGCGGCCUAUCAGGUUGUUGGUGGGGUGAUGGCCUACCAAGGCGACGACGGGUAGCCGGCCUGAGAGGGUGACCGGCCACACUGGGACUGAGAUACGGCCCAGACUCCUACGGGAGGCAGCAGUGGGGAAUAUUGCACAAUGGGCGCAAGCCUGAUGCAGCGACGCCGCGUGAGGGAUGACGGCCUUUGGGUUGUAAACCUCUUUCAGCACCGACGAAGCGCAAGUGACGGUAGGUGCAGAAGAAGGACCGGCCAACUACGUGCCAGCCGCCGCCGUAA
rnacentral:rRNA from 1 species